CCUACGGGGGGCAGCAGUGGGGGAUAUUGCACAAUGGGGGGAACCCUGAUGCAGCGACGCCGCGUGGGUGAAGAAGCGCCUCGGCGCGUAAAGCCCUGUCAGCAGGGAAGAAAAUGACGGUACCUGAAGAAGAAGCCCCGGCUAACUACGUGCCAGCAGCCGCGGUAAUACGUAGGGGGCAAGCGUGAUCCGGAUUGACUGGGUGUAAGGGGGGCGCAGACGGCGAUGCAAGCCAGGAGAGAAAGCCCGGGGCCCAACCCCGGGACUGCUCUUGGAACUGCGCGGCUGGAGUGCAGGAGGGGCAGGCGGAAUUCAUGGUGUAGCGGUGAAAGGCGUAGAUAUCAGGAGGAACACCGGUGGCGAAGGCGGCCUGCUGGACUGCAACUGACGUUGAGGCCCGAAAGCGUGGGGAGCAAACAGGAUUAGAUACCCGAGUAGUC
rnacentral:rRNA from 1 species